GGGCGUGUGGUCUAGGGGUAUGGCGUUCGGUAUGUUUUCCAAUUGCCGAAAAGAAUCAUUUGGACAGUAAUUAACAGGAAUAGCUUCGCAUCUUCUCUGAUAGCGCUUUGCGAAAGGUCCGGGGUUCAAUUCCCCGUUCGUCCA